rnacentral:tRNA from 1 species
AAUAAAAUGCCUGAAAAAGGAUUAUUCUGAUAGAAUAAAUUAUAUAAUAUUAAAAUUAUUUUUAUUA